rnacentral:rRNA from 1 species
GAUGAACGCUAGCUACAGGCUUAACACAUGCAAGUCGAGGGGAAACGGCAUUUAGUGCUUGCACCGAAUGGACGUCGACCGGCGCACGGGUGAGUAACGCGUAUCCAACCUACCCAUUACUGUGGGAUAACCUGCCGAAAGGCAGACUAAUACCGCAUAGUCUUCGAUGACGGCAUCAGAUUUGAAGUAAAGAUUUAUCGGUAAUGGAUGGGGAUGCGUCUGAUUAGCUUGUUGGCGGGGUAACGGCCCACCAAGGCAACGAUCAGUAGGGGUUCUGAGAGGAAGGUCCCCCACAUUGGAACUGAGAUACGGUCCAAACUCCUACGGGAGGCAGCAGUGAGGAAUAUUGGUCAAUGGGCGCGAGCCUGAACCAGCCAAGUAGCGUGCAGGAUGACGGCCCUAUGGGUUGUAAACUGCUUUUGUAUGGGGAUAAAGUCAAUCACGUGUGAUUGUUUGCAGGUACCAUACGAAUAAGGACCGGCUAAUUCCGUGCCAGCAGCCGCGGUAAUACGGAAGGUCCGGGCGUUAUCCGGAUUUAUUGGGUUUAAAGGGAGCGUAGGCCGGAGAUUAAGUGUGUUGUGAAAUGUAGACGCUCAACGUCUGACUUGCAGCGCAUACUGGUUUCCUUGAGUACGCACAACGUUGGCGGAAUUCGUCGUGUAGCGGUGAAAUGCUUAGAUAUGACGAAGAACUCCGAUUGCGAAGGCAGCUGACGGGAGCGCAACUGACGCUGAAGCUCGAAGGUGCGGGUAUCGAACAGG